AGUCGAGUAACGUCGGUGUUUCCAAGCUGGCGUUAGCGAUGCCGUCCUCAGCGUUAGUAGAUACUUACUCACGUUUUGGACUGGGAAAAGCGACCAAUUUGGGGUUGGUCGGAGAACGCAGUGGCUUAUAUCCUCAAAAACAACGGUGGUCUGACAUAGAGAGGGCCACCUUCU
rnacentral:sRNA from 1 species